UUUUUUUUUUUUUUUUUUUUUUUUUUUUUUUUUUUUUUUUUUUUUGUAUUAAACACGCCUAGCUUUAUUUAACAAGGUGAGAUACAGGAUAGUAGCUAAUGUCUUGUUAAGCACACAAGCUCUGCGACAUCGUUUAUAAGAGACCAAUAUACAGUUGAAGUUACUAACAUUACCUACAAAAUUCUGUGUGUGUAUACACUUUAUAUCUUGAUAUUUAUCUCAUCAACCUCCCUUCUCGCCUUGACGAUGAGAAAGAAAAAGAAAAAGAUCGCUUUAAUCUCAACGUUUUCUCUCGUCUUUACAUAGUUAUCCCC